GAAGGACUUGUCUGCUGAAUAGAAGCUCAGCAAAUUCUAUUCAAUUUGGACUCAAGCAAGCAGCAUGGCCAACAAGUAAAUAAGCACUUCCAAUGGAGUCCUACUUCUUAUCCUACCCAUGGAACCUUGGUUUGUUGACUGAGAGAGCAUUUCAGAUAAUCUCACCUGCCAUCCCAAUCCCCAUUUCUGAUGGGUGACAUUAAAGAAGUUCCCUGAAUCCAGGCUGAAGCAGUAGGGAGUGCUAGUACAGCAUCCCUGGACAUGUCAAUCACUUGGAUUUGAGGCCAAUCAACACCUACUUUCUUAUUCUCCGUUCAAGUGAUAAAACAUACCAGCCAGGUGUUUCUAAAAAAAUAUAUUGAUGAGCUGAAGACUUCAAGCCUCCUAAUAACUUGGUCCUACAAAAGUCCUAAAUUGACUCUUGAUGAAGAUUGGUGCAAAGAUACUUCUGCACCUGGUAAGUACCGCAUAGAUUGCCAUUUAUACACGUGCUUGGAAAAAACAAAACUUUCCCCUGGAUUUUUCAAUUCUCUGAUGUGCACCUGACUCCUAAGGGACACUUUAAAUGAUAUUCUCCAGGAAUGAAAAGUAAGACAACAAAAUAAUUACACUCCCGGGCUGAAACUCUACCUCCUCAACAAUAAAAAAAUCCUAUGGAAGUGUUAAAAGCUUGCCCACAGAGCUCCUUGAAAAACAGUUGAUGGUCAGUCUUGGGAAGGUCACACCACUUCUCAGCCUAGUGGAGCUGCCCUGGCGUCUGGUAAAAGUGAUCCAGUCUUGUCUCAUCCUGUUUGAUGGUCAGCAACUCAGAUCAUCUAUUAUUUUGGAAUUCUGAGGUGAAAUAAGGAGGUGCUGAUGACUCUUGUGGAUCCAUUGACUCUCUCUGCUAUCGGAAGAAUAAAGUAAAAGACUCUCAAAAACUCGCAUUUUGCUACAACAGGCAUUUAACCAACUAUAAAACCAAGAAAGGAAAAAUGAAGAUGAAAAAAGAACUUGCACACCCUGCUCCUUUUCACAUUAUUCUUUUCACACUAAAUGCUCAUCCAUGAUGAUGAUGACAAAAAUAAUCACAGUCUUUACUAUUA